rnacentral:rRNA from 1 species
CAGUCGCCGCGGGAAUACGUAGGGUGCGAGCGUUAAUCGGAAUUACUGGGCGUAAAGCGUGCGCAGGCGGUUCGGAAAGAGAGAUGUGAAAUCCCAGGGCUUAACCUUGGAACUGCAUUUUUAACUACCGGACUAGAGUGUGUCAGAGGGAGGUGGAAUUCCGCGUGUAGCAGUGAAAUGCGUAGAGAUGCGGAGGAACACCGAUGGCGAAGGCAGCCUCCUGGGAUAACACUGACGCUCAUGCACGAAAGCGUGGGGAGCAAACAGGAUUAGAUACCCCGUAGUCCCUGUCUCUUAUACC